rnacentral:rRNA from 1 species
UAUUAUUUAAAAUGUAAUUAUAUAAACUUAAGUAGUAAAAGUUAUGUUCUUAAAACUUAAAAAAUUUGGCGGUAUUUUAGUCUAUCCAGAGGAACCUGUUUUGUAAUCGAUAUUCCACGAUGGACCUAACUUAAAAUUGUAAUCAGUUUAUAUACCGUCGUUAUCAGAAUAUUUUAAAAGAAUAUUAAUAUUCAAUAAUUUUAAUUAAAAUUUAUAUCAGAUCAAGGUGUAGCUUAUAUUUAAGUAAUAAUGGGUUACAAUAAAUAUAUUUAAACGGAUAAAAUUAUGAAAAAAUUUUUCAAGGUGGAUUUGGUAGUAAAAUUAUAAAGAUUAAUAAUUUGAUUUUAGCUCUAAAAUAUGUACACAUCGCCCGUCGCUCUUAUUAUUAAGGUAAGAUAAGUCGUAACAUAGUAGAUGUACUGGAAAGUGUAUCUAGAAUGA